rnacentral:rRNA from 1 species
CCUACGGGAGGCUGCAGUGGGGAAUAUUGCACAAUGGGGGAAACCCUGAUGCAGCAACGCCGCGUGAAGGUCAGUGCCCUAUGGGCGUUAAACUUCUUUUGUGCGGGAGCAAUAAUGGUCACGUGUGGCCAGACGAGAGUACCGUACGAAUAAGCAUCGGCUAACUCCGUGCCAACAGCCGCGGUAAUACGGGGGAUGCAAGCGUUAUCCGGAUUUAUUGGGUUUAAAGGGUGCGUAGGCGGGGAGUUAAGUCAGCGGUGAAAUGCCCCCGCUCAACGGGGUGAAGUGCCAUUGAGACUGCCUUGCUGGAAUGCGGAUGCGGUGGGAGGAAUGUGUGGUGUAGCGGUGAAAUGCAUAGAUAUCACGCAGAACACCGAUUGCGAAGGCAUCUCACGGAACCGCGAUUGACGCUGAGGCACGAAAGCGUGGGUAUCAAACAGGAUUAGAUACCCCUGUAGUC